AUUCGCGGCCUAUCAGCUUGUUGGAGAGGUAACGGCUCACCAAGGCAUCGACGGGUAGCUGGUCUGAGAGGAUGAUCAGCCACACUGGGACUGAGACACGGCCCAGACUCCUACGGGAGGCAGCAGUGGGGAAUCUUGCACGAUGGGCGAAAGCCUGAUGCAGCAACGCCGCGUGCGGGAAGAAGGCCCUAGGGUUGUAAACCGCUUUCAGUAGGGAAGAAAAUGACGGUACCUACAGAAGAAGGUGCGGCCAACUACGUGCCAGCGGCCGCGGUGACACGUAGGCACCAAGCGUUAUCCGGAUUUAUUGGGCGUAAAGAGCUCGUAGGCGGUUUGGUAAGUCGGGUGUGAAAACUCUGGGCUCAACCCAGAGAGGCCACCCGAUACUGCUAUGACUAGAGUACGGUAGGGGAGCGGGGAAUUCAUGGUGUAGCGGUGAAAUGCGCAGAUAUCAUGAGGAACACCAGCGGCGAAGGCGCCGCUCUGGGCCGUAACUGACGCUGAGGAGCGAAAGCAUGGGUAGCAAACAGGAUUAGAUACCCUGGUAGUCCAUGCCGUAAACGUUGGGCACUAGGUGUGGGUCUCAACCAACGAGAUCCGCGCCGUCGCUAACGCAUUAAGUGCCCCGCCUGGGGAGUACGGAAU
rnacentral:rRNA from 1 species